CAUGCCUAGAGAUGACGGAAGUGACAGUGUCAGCCUUAAGUCAUAUAACAGGUUUCCGAGGAGGCAGGGAGCAGACUCUAGGUCUGCAUCCCCACACAAAACCUGUGCCUCCCUGGCUGCCAGUGCAUCUCUGGGCUUUGGGAUCUGUGGAAUAACAACAAGGCUGAGAGGCCAAAAUGAGGAGAAGGCAGUACAGAAAGGCAAAGCAUUGUUAAUAAAAACUGGCCUGUCCCCGAAAGGAGGCUCUUUCUGGCUGAGAAGUGAGCACAAAAGCAGCAUGAAAAGCUUAAGUGCUGAAUUAAGUGCAACUAUUUUUAACUUUUGCAUGACAAAGCAAAAUUCAACUCCCAUGGCACUUCUGCUGAACGCUAAAAAUGCACUGAUGCCUGGUGGUACUCAAGCACAGGGAUGCUCUGGAUGCGCUAUCACCUUCAUCUUCCACUCUGAAGAUCCUCCUCCUCUGCCUUUGCAGAGCAAGGCCUGAUCCAACCCCGCUGAACUCCUUCUAUCAAAGAACCCUCCAGCACCACCGGACCUUCACGUCCCUAUGGGAAAAGUGGACAAAUCGCUCUUCUGUGGUGCUGAGACCAGAACGGCAUCAGCCGGAUCAGCCACGAGCUCGUGCUACCUGAGCCCGUGGUCCAAACCCGACGGACGGAGGAGGAGCAUGGUUGUACCCUGAACGAGUCGGGGUGCCCUGGAUGAGCCGGGAGAGUUGCGGCUCCCUGGAAGAGGCCGUCAAACCCUGGACCAGCUGGGAUGACCCAGGAGUGGAUAAUCUUUGGUGGUUUUAAAAUCGAGGAAAAGGAGAAGGACGGCAUUUAACUCCUUAAUUGCUCUUUCGAUGAAAAGCUCUCGGCCCUGACGCACAACCACGUAUUCUCCAUACGAGUCCUCACCCGGCCAAGAAAAAUGAGAUUCGGAGGUGGGAAAAGGCUGGCAGAGUAUGAGGUGGAAAAUACAGCCCGUCCCACGCAAUCACUGUAGUGUUUUAAGCCCGAGGUUUAAUGGAAAUAAGGUGGUGGAGCACAGCAUUGGCUCUGCCACAGGUUUGGCUUACCACCACGAGCAAAUCACUACGUGUGGCAAGUCUCGUCUCCAUUCCCCUGGAACGAAAUAACUUGUGUUCUGCAUCGGCACGGCGUAAAGCACACGGACAUCGUUACUCUGAUAAGUCGGGAGACGCGGAUGCCAUGCUCUGUUCCCUCUCCCCCGUUUUGCCCAGAUAAAUGCCGUCGGGUCGGGACAACUCACGGGCAGUAAAAGUGUGAGGCAGGGAAGGAUUUGCACCCUCUGGGACUUAAUUCGCACCCCUGGGACUUGUAGUUUAGGGUCUAAAUCAGGAGAUGCAGAGCUCCUUGAGCGGAGAUACAGCUUAAGAUGUGCCGCUGGUCUCAGGGGAAACGGGGAUUUGAUGGACUAAGUGGUUUGAUGCACUGAAACCCUUUGGCUUCUGACCCUGCUCCUGGGCAGCUCGAGGACUGUUGAUGCUGAGCACAGUGGAGCUCAGGGGCUUACACAGAGCUGGGAGCUCUGCAGUAACUACACCGACACGUUCGCGUCUCUGUUUCCCUGGCUGCGCACGGCGAUGUUGCUGAGAUGGUAAUUGGGGAUAAUAACCUGAAGCUGCGCCAUAGCCCUCUGUUGAGGAAUUGUGGUCCGGACUGCAGCGAGCUGGACCCACCAAAGCUGAUGAGGCUUCAAGAAGCUGCAGAACGGAGACCUCAGUCUCUCUGCUCAGCGGUGCUGCCAGGAGGGACGUCCGGUGGUAGCAUCGGCGCUUCCUCAAGGGACCCUCUCUGCGCCGUUCAUGCUAACCCACGGGGGAACAUGAGUGGCAGCUAGGCAGGAUUUGUUGGGAAAAAAAAAAUAUCAUUGAAAAGUGGAGGAGAUCGUUGAGGUAAGGGAGACAGGUUCCACUUAAACUUACCAUGAACCCUG